ACGUCCACCAGGGGGUGCCUCGUCAAGAGGCUGAGAUGUCGCUGGCGGAUCGCAAAAUCCGCAGCGCGACGACCCUUCCGACCGCUGCUUGCGGUUGGGGAACCUGAUCCGGUUCGUACCGGCGUAGGGAUUGGUAUGAAGCAGGGAU
rnacentral:ncRNA from 1 species